GCAAACCACUGAACUUCCAGUAGUUAUGUCUGGAGUGCAAGAAGGGGCUUGAAAAUGGAGCAACACAAUCACACUUGGACUUCAGGAGGAUCAUUCUGGCAGCUGCUCUUGGCUGAGAGAGAGAGAUCACAAGUAGGCAGAGAGGCAGGCAGAGGGGAGCGGGAAGCAGACUCCCUGCUGAGAAGAGAGCCCCAUGCCGCGCUGGAUCCCAGGACCCUGAGAUCAUGACCUGAGCGGAAGGCAGACGCUUAACCCACUGAGUCACCCAGGUGUGCACCCCACCCCCCCACUCCCCACCCCCACCCCCC
rnacentral:lncRNA from 1 species